CCUACGGGGUGCUGCAGUGGGGAAUAUUGGACAAUGGGCGAAAGCCUGAUCCAGCCAUGCCGCGUGUGUGAAGAAGGCCUUCGGGUUGUAAAGCACUUUCAGUGGGGAAGAAAGCCUUGGGGCUAAUACCCUCGAGGAAGGACAUCACCCACAGAAGAAGCACCGGCUAACUCCGUGCCAGCAGCCGCGGUAAUACGGAGGGUGCGAGCGUUAAUCGGAAUUACUGGGCGUAAAGCGCGCGUAGGCGGUCUGAUAAGCCGGUUGUGAAAGCCCCGGGCUCAACCUGGGAACGGCAUCCGGAACUGUCAGGCUAGAGUGCAGGAGAGGAAGGUAGAAUUCCCGGUGUAGCGGUGAAAUGCGUAGAGAUCGGGAGGAAUACCAGUGGCGAAGGCGGCCUUCUGGACUGACACUGACGCUGAGGUGCGAAAGCGUGGGUAGCAAACAGGAUUAGAUACCUUGUAGUC
rnacentral:rRNA from 1 species